CUUACACAUCUCUUCAGAAUCCCUGCUUCCUACAUUAUAAUCUUGGGAUUUAAUACAUGUUUUUCAUUCAGGUUAUUAUCAAUAUCAGAUUUAUCUGACUAUGCAUGAACACAGCCACAGAUUCAGGGAAAAAGAUGUAUCUUUCAGCGCUGAAGAGAAUAAAAAUUAAUAAUCCUCAGAGACUUUCAAACUGAAGUGGGCAGGGAAGGGUGGAAAGAACCGAUCUCAUUCUAUGAAGAGCAUGCAGGGAUUUUCACAGAGCAUGUAGUGCUGAGUACAGCACACCAGGCACCCGGGGACACCCAGAGAGCAGCCUUUCCUCAACACAAGAGGAGUGAGCACCGCACAGAGCUGCAGAAAGGGAAUCCCAGAUGGGGUAACAGCAGAUACAAAGACCCCACGGCAGGCCCUGGCCUGGCCUGCUGGAGGAGCAGAACGGAAGCCAGUGGGUCUGGAGUAAAGGGGACCAACUUGUCCCGGUUUGCCCAGAACUUUCCUGGUUUUAACACUAGAAAUCCCAUGUCCCAGGAAACUUCUGAGUCUCAGCCAAGCUGGGAUGAUUUGCCUAGAACUUCCCCUAUUAUAAAACUGAGAGGUCUGUGCCCCAUCAUCCGCCUCAGUCCUAAGCAAGCUGAGGCAGUGGGUCGCCCUAGACUGGAGCAACGUGCAUGAUGGUGGGAAGAGCCAGUGACUCUCUUUCAUGUCCUCUCUGCCCUCGAUCUCAGGAGUCACCCAGGUGGGCACUGGCAUCCAGGAUGAAAACUUCCCAGCACCCCAGCAGUGGCCACGUGACCAGGCAGUGGCCAAUGCACAUGAGGCCAGUGCACAGCAACUGCCAUUAGAGGAAGGAAGAUUUGUGUCCUCUUGUUCUCUUCUCCCCUCCCUGCUGGCUGGUAGUAGAUAGGAUGGACACUGUGGGGGAAGCUACACCCUAAAGAAGUCAAAGCAGCAAGAUGGAAGUACCCUAAGACCCUGAAAAAUGCACAGAGAAGAAUCACCCGACUGGCUUGAACUUUCAUGUGAAAGGAAUGAACCUCUGUCUUAGUAAAGCCACCGUGAUUCAGGGUCCUUGUGAUAUUCACUGAGGCUGUAACAUAAUUGUUGAAAGAACAGGAGCGGGAGGGGAGAUGGAGUCGGAGAGGCAGGCAGAGGUCAGAUCACAUGGGGCCUGUAGGCCAAGGCGGAGGAAGAAACAGGUGACAUAGGACUCAAGGACCCCACCUGCUCCCAGGCGAAGGGAGUUUGCUGUGGGUGCCCCUCCCUGUCUGUGUGUCCAGUGUAUUCAUAUUCUUCAUACCUUGCCCAUAUUGGACAAAUACUUUUUUCUAUUCAAUAUUUAGAAGACAUUGCAUUAAAUAGCAAGAUGGCAGGUGAACAUCAGGAAGGAACAUUAGGAACAUCCACGGCGUUCCAUCCAGGAACCUUCACCGUGGAAACUCUUGUGCUCAUGGGCGUGGUCUCAAGACACAGUCAGCUGUUGGGGAUCAGAGGCGACACUCAUUGUAGCAGAGAGGCAGGACCAACUGGGAGAGGGUCCUUCUGUGACAACUAUUGCAUCACCGGGCUGUGUGAAGUGACUCAGCUGCCAGAACUCACACAAUAUCAUUCUACACCAAACCUCACGGGAAAAAUGCUCCACGACCCUCAGACUUAAACAGCAGCACUGGCUCCUCCCCAGAUCUCCAGCUCCCUGACCCUCAAACUCCAACUCCAACACCAGCUCUGCCCCAGGUCUCCAGCUCCACAAUCCUCAAACUACAACAGCAGCACCAGCUCCCCUGGGGAUCUCCAGCUCAAUGACUCUCAGACUUGGGAGGCAGCUCCAGCUCCCACCAAGCCUCCAGCUCCACAACCUUCAAACUAGAACAGCAGCACCAGCUACUCCCUGGGUCUCCAGCUCCCUCAAAAUUCAACUAUAGCACUGGCUGUUCCCCAGCGCCACCAGCUCCACAACCCUCAACUUACACGGUGGUAGCACCAGCUCCUCCCUAGGUCUCCAGCUACACGACCGUCAAACUUGAACUGCAACACCAGCUCCUCUUCGGCCUCCAGCUCCACAAUCCUCCAACAACAACAGCAACACCGGCUCCUCCCUGAAUCUCCAGCUCAACAACCCUCAGACUUGAGAGGCAGCACCGGCACCUCCCCAAGGCUCCAGCUCCAUGACCCUCAGAUUUGAACAGCGGUAGCACCAGCUCCUGUCCAGGUCUCCAGCUUCAUGAUCCUUAAACUAGAACAGCAGCACCACCACCUCCCUAGGUUUCCAGCUCCACGACCCUAAGACAUGAAUGGCAGGACCGGGUUCCCCGCUAGGGCUCCAGCUCCAAGACCCACAGAUAUAAACGGCAGCACCGGCUCUUCCUGGGAUCUCCAGCUCCACAGCCUUCAAACACGAUCAGCAGCACCAGCUCCCCUCUGGUUCUCCAGCUCCACAAUCCUCAGACAUGAACAGCAGCACAGGCUCCUCCUUGGGUCUCCAGCUUCUCUACCCUCAGACUAGAACAGCAACACUUGUUCCUCCCUGGGUCUCCAGCUCUUACAAGUCUCAGACUUGAAAGGCAGCACUGGCUCCUCAGAAAGUUUCUGGCUCCAAGCUGGUGCUGCUGUCCUAGUUUGAAGGUCAUGGAGCUGGAGACCCGGGGAGGAACCAUUUGAACAGCAGCACUGGCCCCUCCCCGGGUCUCAGGCUCCACGACCCUCAGACUUAAAAAGCCGUAGUACGGGCUUCUCCCUGGGUCUCCAUCUCUACAACCCUCAGACAUGAACAGCAGCAGCACCGCCCCCUCCCCCUGUCUCCAGUUCCACGAACCUCAAACUACAACAGCAGUACCGGCCUCUCCCCAGGUCUCCAGAUCCACGACCCUCAAAAUAGAAUGGCAUCACCGGCUCCUCCCUGGGUCUCCAGCUCCCAAACUCUCAAACUUCAAUUGACACACCGGACCCUCCCCACAGUUAAACAGCAGCACGGGCUGUUCCCCAAAGCUCCAGAUCCACGACCCUCUGACUUAAAGGGCGAUAGCACCAACUCCUCCCUAAGUCUCCAGUUCCACGACCCUCAAACUACACAGCAGCACCGGCUCCUCCUUGGGUCUCCAGCUUCACUACACUCAGACUAGAAUAGCAACACCGGUUCCUCCCUGGAACUCCAGCUCAAUGACUCUCAGACUUGAAAGGCAGCACCAGCUCCUCAAAAAGGUUCUGGCUCCAAGACCCUCGAACUAGAAUAGCAGCAGCUGCUGCAUCUUGGGUCUCCAGCUCCACAACCCUCAAAGUAGAAAAGCAGCCCUGGCUCCUCCCCGAGUCUCCAACUCCUCAAACAUGAACAGCAGCACCGGCUCCUCCCCCUGUCUCCAGUUCCACGAACCUCAAACUACAACAGCAGUACCGGCCUCUCCCCAGGUCUCCAGAUCCAUGACCCUCAAAAUAGAAUGGCAUCAUCAGCUCCUCCCUGGGUCUCCAGCUCCCAAACCCUCAAACUUCAACUAACACAGCAGAUCCUCCCCACAGUUAAACAGCAGCACGGGCUGUUCCCCAAAGCUCCAGAUACACGACCCUCAGUAGCACUGGCUCCUCCCAAGGUCUCCAGUUCCAUGACCCUCAAACUACACAGCAGCACCGGCUCCUCCCCAGGUCUAUAGCUCCACCACCCUCACACUAGACAUCAAGACUACCUCCUUCCCGCUCUCCAGCUACACGACCCUCAAACUUGAACAGCAGCAGCAGCUCCUCCCUAGAUUUCCAGCUCCAUGACCCUAAACCUGCAACAGCAGCACCAGCUCCUCCCUGUACCUCAAGCCCCAUGACCCUCUGACUUGAUCAACAGCAACAGCAGCUCCCUCCCUGGUCUCCAGCUCCACAACCUUCAGCCUUAAACAGCAGCAGCACCAGCUCCUCCCUGGGUCUCCAGCUCCACAACCCUCAGACUAGAACCGCACCCCUCCUCCCUGAGUCUCCAGCUCCAUGACCGUCAAACUACAACAGCAACACAGGUUCCUGUCUGGAUCUCCAGCUCAGCAACUCUCAGAUGAGGCAGCACCGGCAACUCACCAAGGCUCCAGCUCCACAACCCUCAGAUUUGAAUAAUGGUAGCACCAGCUCCUGUCCAGAUCUCCAGCUUCAUGAUCCUUAAACUAGAACAGCAGCACCGCUGCCUCCCUGGGUUUCCAGCUCCACGACCCUAAGACAUGAAUGGCAGAACCGGCUUCCCACAAGGGUUCCAGCUCCAGGACCCACAGAUUUAAAUGGCAGCACUGGCUCUUCCCAGGAUUUCCAGCUCCACUACCCUCAAACUAGAAGAGGAGCACCGGCUCCUCCCUGGGUCUCCAGCUCCCAAACCCUCAGACAUCACCUGACACACUGGAUCCUCCCCACAGUUACAUAGCAGCACGGGCUGUCCCCGAAAACUCGAGAUCCACAACCCUCUGACUUCAAUGGCGGUAGUACUGGUUCCUCCCUAGGUCUCCAGUUCCAUGACCCUCAAACUACACAGCAGCACCAGCUCCUCCCCAGGUCUACAGCUCCACCACCCUCACACUAGACACCAGGACUACCUCCUCCCCGCUCUCCAGCUACACGACCCGCAGAUUUGAACAGCAGCAGCGUCUCCUCCCUGUACCUCAAGCCCCAUAACCCUCAUAUAUGAACAACAGCAAUACCAGCUAAUGCCUAGGGCUCCAGCUCCAGGAUCCACAGAUUUAAACUGCAGCACCAGCUCGUCCAAGGAUCUCCAGCUCCACCACCCUCAGACUAGAACAAGACCUCUACUCCCUGGGUCGCGAGCUUCCGGACCCUCGAACUAUGAAAACAUUGCUCCUCCCUGGGUCCGCAGCUCCACGACCCUCAAACCAGAUCAAGAUCUCUCCUCCCUGUGUCGUCAGCUUCCUGACCCUUGAACUAUGACAACAUUGCUCCUCCCUGGGUCAGCAGCUCCACAACCCUCAAACCAGAUCAAGAUCUCUCCUCCCUGGGUCGCCAGCUUCCUGACCCUCGAACAACAGAAACAUUACUCCUCCCUGGGUCAGCAGCUCCAUGAUCCUCAAACUAGAAUGAGACCUCUCCUCCCUGCGUCGCCAGCUUCUGGACCCUUGAACUAUGAAAAUAUUGCUCCUCCCUGGAUCUGCAGCUCCACGACCCUCAGACUAGAACACGAUCUGUCCUCCCUGGGUCACCAGCUUCCGAACCUUCGAACUAAAACAACAUUGCUCCUCCCUGGGUCUGCAGCUCCACGACCCUCAAACUAGAAAAAGACCUCUCCUCACUGUGUCGCCAGCUUCUGGACCCUCGAACUACAAAAACAUUGCUCCUGCCUGGGUCUGCAGCUCCACGACCCUCAAUCCAGAUCAAGAUCUCUCCUCCCUGUGUCAUCAGCUUCCUGACCCUCGAACUAUGACAGCAUUGCUCCUCCCUGGGCGCACCCUCAAACUAGAACAAGACCUCUCCACCCUGCGUCGCCAGUUUCCGGAGCCUCAAACUAAAACAACCUUGCUCCUCCCUGGGUCUGCAGCUCCACAACCCUCAAACUAGAACCAGACCUCUCCUCCCUGUGUUGCCAGCUUCCUGACCCUUGAACUAUGGAAACAUGGCUCCUCCCUAGGUCUGCAGCUCCACGACCCUCAAACUAAAACAAGAUCUCUCCUCCCUGGGUCUGCAGCUCCACGACCCUCAAACUAAAACAAGAUCUCUCCUCCCUGUGUCAUCAGCUUCCAGUCCCUCAAAUAACAACAUUGCUCCUCCCUGGGUCUGCAGCUCCACGACCCUCAAACUAAAACAAGACCUCUCCUCUCUAGGUCUGCAGCUUCCAGUCCCUCAAAUAACAACAUUGCUCCUCCCUGGAUCUGCAGCUCCAUGACUCUCAGACUACAACAAGAUCUCUCCUCCCUGGGUCACCAGCUUCCGGACCCUCGAACUACGAAAACAUUGCUCCUCCCUGGGUCUCCAGCUCCAUGACCCUCAAACUAAAACAAGAUCUCUCCUCCCUGUGUCAUCAGCUUCCAGUCCCUCAAAUAACAACAUUGCUCCUCCCUGGGUCUGCAGCUCCACGACCCUUAAACUAGAACAAGACCUCUCCUCACUGUGUCGCCAGCUUCCGGACCCUUGAACUAUGAAAACAUUGCUCCUCCCUGGGUCCGCAGCUCCACGACCCUCAAACUAAAACAAGAUCUCUCCUCCCUAGGUCUGCAGCUUCCAGUCCCUCAAAUAACAACAUUGCUCCUCCCUGGAUCUGCAGCUCCACGACCCUCAGACUAGAACAAGACCUCUCCUCCCUGAGUCACCAGCUUCCGAACCUUCGAACUAAAACAACAUUGCUCCUCCCUGGGUCCGCAGCUCCAUGACCCUCAAACUAGAACAAGACCUCUCCUCCCUAGGUCUGCAGCUUCCAGUCCCCAAAUAACAACAUUGCUCCUCCCUGGAUCUGCAGCUCCACGACCCUCAGACUAGAACAAGAUCUCUCCUCCCUGGGUCACCAGCUUCCGGACCCUGGAACUACAAAAACAUUGCUCCUCCCUGGGUCUGCAGCUCCACAACCCUCAAACUAAAACAAGAUCUCUCCUCCCUGUGUUGCCAGCUUCCGGACCCUCGAACUAUGACAACAUUGCUCCUCCCUGGGUCUGCAGCUCCACGACCCUCAAAGCAGAUCAAGAUCUCUCCUUCCUGUGUCAUCAGCUUCCUGACCCUUGAACUAUGACAACAUUGCUCCUCCCUGGGUCUGCAGCUCCAUGACUCUCAAACUAGAACAGCAGCACCAGCUCCUUCCUGGACCUCCAGGUCAAUGACUCUCAGACUUCAAAGGCAGCAGCAGCUCCACCCCCAGGCUCCAGCUCUAAAACCCUCAGAUGUGAGCAGUGGCAGCACCAGCUCCUUUCUGCGUCUCCGGCUUCAUGAUCCUUAAAUUAGAACAGCAGCGCCAUCUUCUCCCUGCGUCUCCAGCUCCAGGAACCUCAAACUGCAACAGGAGCACCUGUUCCUCUGGGAUUUUCACCUCCACGACCCUGAGGUGUCAGUGGCAGCACUGGCUCCUCCCCUGGGCUGCAGCUCCAGAACCCUCAAGAAUAAUCCCUUCUCAUGAAAUGUAGCAGUCAGGAAAACUGCAGAGGAAGUAAAUAAAUAAAUGUUUUCUUUCAAACUGAUGUUUCUUUUAUAUUCACACAAGUCAGGAAACUUUUCUACUUUCCAUCAACCUUACAAUCUACUUAUAUUCAAUUGUAAGGUGGAAAUCCACCAUUUGAAAUAACCUUUAAAAACUUAGUAACUCUCUUUUACUAUGAUUUUAUCUCACAGCUCUAGAAACGAUCUUUCACUUUGCCUGUGCAGAAGUCUUGUGAACAUUCAAACUAGAAUUUACUUGGUUGAGAUUCUAGAAUACACGUUAUCCCCAGAUGUUCCUGCCCUCCUUAAAAUCUUCUAACAUGUUCCCCUCACCCGAGCAUAAAUGCCAGGUCCUAUCCACAGCCCACAGUGCCCAGCACGGCCCUGCCCUCUGCCCUGACCUUAUGGUCUCCCCUCUGCUGUUACUUUCCUCCCAGACAGGCCUCUGUCACUUCCUGAAACCACACAGGCUCAGGCCUGACUCCGGGCCUUUGCCCCUGCUGUGCCCCCUGCGUGGAGCGCCUUUGCCCGGCUCCCCAUCCUCCUCUCCACCCGCUCAGCUCCAGCCUGCUGGC
rnacentral:lncRNA from 10 species